rnacentral:lncRNA from 12 species
CCCCCGAUGACAAUGGUGACACAAUGGAGGUGACACAAUGGGGGUGACAAUGGUGACACAGUGGUGACAAUGGUGACACAAUGGGGGUGACAAUGGUGACACAGUGGUGACAAUGGUGACACAGUGAUGGUGACAAUGGUGACACGAUGGGGGUGACGCAAUGGGGUGACACAGUGCUGGUGACAAUGGUGACACAAUGGGGAUGACAAUGGUGACACAAUGGGGGUGACACAAUGGGGGUGACAAUGGUGACACAUUGGGGAUGACAAUGGUGACACAGUGGGGGUGACAGUGGCGACACAGUGGUGACAAUGGUGGCACAGUGGGGGUGACAGUGGUGGCACAAUGGAGGUGACAAUGGUGACACAGCGGCGGUGACAGUGGUGCCACAAUGACAAUGGUGCCACAGUGACAAUGGUGACACAGCGGUGGCACAGCGGCGGUGACAGCGGUGACGUUGUUCCUCAGAGGGUGUCGCUGGUGGUGGCACAGCUGGUGGUGACGGCGGUGGCGCGGUGAUGGUGGCCUGGUGGCGGUGGCAGCGCCGGUGACAGCGGUGGCGGUGACGCAGCAGCGGUGACAGCGGUGGCGCGCUGCAGGUGACGCCACUUGCCUGUGGUGACGGUGACACGGUGACAGUGCCAAUGUCCCCACAGAGGUGACUGAGGGUGACAGAGUACCGCGUCCCUGUCCCCUGUCCCCUGGGCCAGCUGCUCCUGCUGCGGGUGCACAAAGGUCCCUGCGGGGGCCUCCCCGAGAGCUCCUGGUACCUGGAGAGUGUCACCGUGUGGGGACAGCGCGGGGACAGCGCCGGGGACAGCGGGGACAGCCAUGGGGACAGCGGCCCCCCCCCCCCCCCCCCCCCCCCCCCCCCCCCCCCCCCCCCCCCCCCCCCCCCCCCCCCCCCCCCCCCCCCCCCCCCCCCCCCCCCCCCCCCCCCCCCCCCCCCCCCCCCCCCCCCCCCCCCCCCCCCCCCCCCCCCCCCCCGCGUAAGGAGGAGGAGGAGGAGGAGGAGGAGGAGGAGGAGGAGGAAGGGGACAGCGAGGAGGAGGUGACAGAGGAGGAGGGGACAGGGGACAGCGAGGAGCCGGAGGAGGAGCUGGAGGACAUCGAGAGUGACACCGAGGGUGACACCGAGGGUGACACCGAGGGUGACACUGAGGGUGACAUCGGUGCUGCCAGCUCAGGUGACAGCGCAGGUGACCCCGAUGACGUCACUCACCUGGGCCCCUUCCACUUCCCCUGCUACCGCUGGCUGGAGGGGUACGGCACCUGGGAGCUGCCCGAGGGCACAGCCACCACCCCGGCCAUGGAGCAGCACCCGCAGCGGCAGCGGCAGCGCCGGAGACACCUGGUGCUGCAACGGCGGCGCUACAGGUUGGCGCCCUUCGCCCCCGGCCUGCCCUGGGCGCUGCCCCUGGGGACGCCGCUGGACCCCGACCUGAGCUACUCCCUGCCCAAGGCCACGGCCUUCUACCUGCGGGGCAGCGCCGCGUGAGUGACCACUGACCUCUGAGUGACCCUGAGUGACCACUGACCUCUGAGUGACCCUGAGUGACCACUGACCUCUGAGUGACCCUGAGUGACCACUGACCUCUGAGUGACCCUGAGUGACCACUGACCUCUGAGUGACCCUGAGUGACCACUGACCUCUGAGUGACCCUGAGUGACCACUGACCUCCUUCUACCUGCGGGGCAGCGCCGCCUGAGUGACCACUGACCUCUGAGUGACCCUGAGUGACCACUGACCUCUGGGUGACCUCUGAGUGACACCUGACCAACCACUGACCACUGAGUGACCCUGAGUGACCACUGAGUGACAGCUGACCAACGGCUGACCACUGAGUGAUCACUGACUACUGAGUGACUACUGACCACUGAGUGACCACUGAGUGACCACUGACCUCUGAGUGACCACUGAGUGACCACUGACCACUGAGUGACCGCUGACCAACCACUGACCAACCACUGACCCACCCUGACCAUCCCUGAGCUACUCCCUGCCCAAGGCCACGGCCUUCUACCCGCACCCUGAGUGACCACUGAGUGACCCUGAGUGACCACUGAGUGACAGCUGACCAACGGCUGACCACUGAGUGAUCACUGACUACUGAGUGACUACUGACCACUGAGUGACCACUGAGUGACCACUGAGUGACCACUGAGUGACCACUGAGUGACCACUGAGUGACCACUGAGUGACCACUGAGUGACCACUGAGUGACCACUGAGUGACCACUGAGUGACCACUGAGUGACCACUGAGUGACCACUGAGUGACCACUGAGUGACCACUGAGUGACCACUGAGUGACCACUGAGUGACCACUGAGUGACCACUGAGUGACCACUGAGUGACCACUGAGUGACCACUGAGUGACCACUGAGUGACCACUGAGUGACCACUGAGUGACCACUGAGUGACCACUGAGUGACCACUGAGUGACCACUGAGUGACCACUGAGUGACCACUGAGUGACCACUGAGUGACCACUGAGUGACCACUGAGUGACCACUGAGUGACCACUGAGUGACCACUGAGUGACCACUGAGUGACCACUGAGUGACCACUGAGUGACCACUGAGUGACCACUGAGUGACCACUGAGUGACCACUGAGUGACCACUGAGUGACCACUGAGUGACCACUGAGUGACCACUGAGUGACCACUGAGUGACCACUGAGUGACCACUGAGUGACCACUGAGUGACCACUGAGUGACCACUGAGUGACCACUGAGUGACCACUGAGUGACCACUGAGUGACCACUGAGUGACCACUGAGUGACCACUGAGUGACCACUGAGUGACCACUGAGUGACCACUGACCCCUGAGUUACCAUGGAGUGACCACUUACCCCCUAAAUGACCACUGAGUGAACACUGACUCAUCCUGACCACCCCUGAUCAUCCAUGACCCCUGAGUGACCCCUGAGUGACCACUGACCCUCUCCUGACUGACCCCUCUCUGGCCCUUGACCCCAAACCUGCCCCUGCCCGUCCUCAAUGUCCCCAAUGUCCCCCCAAUGUCCCCAAUGUCCCCAGUGUCCCCAGUGUCCCCCCAGUCCCCCCAAUGUCCCCAGUGUCCGCAGUGUCCCCCCAGUGUCCCCCCCCCCCCCCCCCCCCCCCCCCCCCCCCCCCCCCCCCCCCCCCCCCCCCCCCCCCCCCCCCCCCCCCCCCC